rnacentral:rRNA from 1 species
CGAGCGCAACCCCUACUUGCUAGUUACCAUCAUUAAGUUGGGGACGUCUAGCGAGACUGCCAGUGAUAAACUGGAGGGAAGGUGGGGAUGACGUCAAAUCAUCAUGCCCCUUAUGACCCGGGCUACAAACGUGAUACAAUGGCUGGAACAAAGGGAUGCGAAGCAGUGAUGUGGAGCGAAACCCAUAAAAACAGUCUCAGUUCGGAUUGAAGUCUGCAACUCGACUUCAUGAAGUCGGAAUCGCUAGUAAUCGCGGAUCAGAACGCCGCGGUGAAUACGUUCUCGGGGUUU